UACGUAGGGGGCAAGCGUUGUCCGGAAUCAUUGGGCGUAAAGAGCGUGUAGGCGGCCCGAUAAGUCCGCUGUGAAAGUCCAGGGCUCAACCCUGGAAUGCCGGUGGAUACUGUCGGGCUCGAAUCCGGAAGAGGUGAGUGGAAUUCCUGGUGUAGCGGUGAAAUGCGCAGAUAUCAGCAGGAACACCAAUGGCGAAGGCAGCUCACUGGGACGGUAUUGACGCUGAGACGCGAAAGCGUGGGGAGCAAACAGG
rnacentral:rRNA from 1 species